rnacentral:tRNA from 1 species
CUCCAGGUCGCCAAGUGGGAAGGCGUUGGUCUGCAAAACCAACUAUUCGUGGGUUCGAUUCCCACCCUGGAGUCCA